rnacentral:rRNA from 1 species
AACGUAGGAGACAAACGUUAUCCGGAGUUACUGGGCGUAAAGGGCGUGCAGGUGGCUGCUUAAGUUCGGCGUGAAAGCCUCCGGCUAAACCGGGGGAGGUCGUCGGAAACUGGACAGCUUGAGGGUGAUAGAGGCGGGUGGAAUUCCGGGUGUAGUGGUGAAAUGCGUAGAGAUCCGGAGGAACACCAGUGGCGAAGGCGACCCGCUGGGUCACACCUGACACUGAGACGCGACAGCAUGGGGAGCGAACGGGAUUAGAUCCCGUGUAGUCC